UCUCCGCGUCUCUUUUUCUCAACGACAAUGGUCUACACUCUGAAUGGCUACUCUUCCGUCAUCUUCGUUUCUCAGCCUCCAAUUUGGUAACGAUAAGCUAUUCUUCGCUCAUCUUCUUCCUAAAAGGUGUUGUCAUCGCAAUGACAGUUAUGAUGGCUUCACGCCCUACACGGUUAAGUGCAGAGUUACUAGGUCCAAAGAGGCUACUCCGGUGAAUUCUUCUUCAUUCAUAAGAGAACCUCACAAGUAUUUCGAUCAGGUGAUAAUCACGGUUCGUUCUGGAGAUGGAGGCCACGGCGCAAUUCUUAGCUUACCUAACCGUGUAGGGCGUGAAGCCAUCAUAA
rnacentral:misc_RNA from 1 species